UUCUCAUCAAAGUCUGUAUUUACCUGCCUACACAAGGGGCCCUCUUCCCCCAGAGGGACCCAGCAGGAGCAGGUGGGAAAUUCGGUGGUACACGCCGCCCAUUAAUUUCUCUCUUGAGAGAGUCCAGGCGAGGAAUCGCUAGGGUGUUGCCAUAAGAAAUUCAGUCCGCCUAGCGGGCAUGGGAGGCUUCACGGGCGGUUGGUCCCUAGUGCAAAACUUUCGCGCUAGGAGGCUUUUGAGUGCAAUAUACAGACCGCCUAGUGGUUCCUUGGGAUCAUCUGGGCGGAACGCGAUACCGAUUAUUUUGGUGAGAA
rnacentral:RNase_P_RNA from 2 species